rnacentral:lncRNA from 1 species
GCUCAGCACACUGAGCUCUCUGCUGUCUCAGGAUUUCCCAGAGGCUGUUCCCUCUGCUUGGCUUUUCCUCACAGCGUUAGUCCAGUUAGCACUCUGUUUUCAUGAGUUUUCAUGUUAGCGGGGGAAAACAUAAGUAAAUAAACUUCAGACCUCUGGGAGGGGAGAGAGGCUGGAAAUUAAGUUCAAUCACCAAUGGCCAAUGAUUUAAUCAAUCAUGCCUGUGUAAUGAAGCCUUCAUAAAAACCAAAACAGCCAGGGUUUGGAGAGUUUCUGGGUUGGUGAACACAUGGUGAUACCAGGAGAGUGGUGUGCUCAGAAAGCAUAGAGGCUCUGCGCUGUUUCCCCAUACCUUGCCCUGUGCAUCGCUUCCAUUGGGCUGUUCCUGUGUUAUAUCCUUUUAUAUUAAACCCAUAAUCUAGGUGGUUCAAAUCACAGUGUUGGUGAUGUCACUCCUGCCACCUCUCCUGAGAUUGGCGUGGUUCUGCUGUCAAAAACUUGGAAAAUACUGAAUCAUCUCCCCGAGGAAAAUUGGUGCUUCUCAGCUUCAGACUUGAGUUUCCAGCGAGAAUAAGACAGAGGCGCAUCCUACUGGGAAGCAGUGGGGCUGGGACAAGUCAAAGGCCUCCCUCAAUCCACUCACAGUUCUUCAUCUCUUCAGGGUGAUUUGCCUGUCACCAUCCACAUGGUGCCUGAGGCAAAGGGUUAGUGCUGCUGCUGGUGACAUACCCUAGAGCAGCGGCAGCAGCAAUUACCUGGGAGUCACAUUAUAUUUGCAGUUUGUUCGGAGGGAUGGAUGGAAGAGACUGCAGGUCAACAUCAAGUUUUUUGGUCAGACUUAGCAAAUACAGGAAUAAAAAUAUGACCGCAACGGUCAUUUACAUAUAAGCUACUUUAACCUUAUGUCUCUGCACCCUUGAAUGCGUCCUUCUGUUUCUGUUUCUGAAGUUCUUACACUAUAGAACUACUUCAUGGGACUAUAUUUGACACGAGACUUACUUUCCUGUAGGUGAACAGACUUUGCUCAAGCACUAUCAGAGAUAGGGAGAGAGAAGGAAGCAACGAUAAAGGGAAUACAGUAAAGUGAUUUAAGGAUAAUUUUUAAAAAUGAACUCAAAUGAUGAAAGUAGAAAUGAGGAGAAGAGAAAAACGGAAAAGUGUA